ACCACCAAAAACGUUUAAAGACGUCGAACUGCAUCAAUCCAUCAACAUCGAUUGGAAAAACGGUUCGAUUCAGUAAAAAGGCAAUGCUCUGUGUUUGGUGGGAUCAGAAGGAUGUGGUAUAUCAUCAGCUUCUAAAACCUGGUGAAACUGAUGACAAAUGAUCAAUGAAGAGAAUGAGCCAGAAGACACGGCGAAGAAUAUAUUUAACUUACCAGUUGUGUUGGCUAUUAAAUUGGAAUACGCCUUAACUUCUCAGUUAAUAUUAGGGUGGCUUUAAACAAAUUUAAUAAACUUUUGGUCAGUUUUUUGUCUGUCUAUCCUUUUGUACCACUUGUUUUCAGUUUGUUGUAAUUUUUAGGCAACUUGACAUCACUGUCAUGGAAUAAAAAUUAUUUGGAAAUAUAUAAGUUUUUUGCAUUAUGUGAAUGAUGUACUCUACAUGAAUCAUUGUAUAAACAUACUGUGGCUAAACGGUAGAAAAAACAAAUUCUGACAGAUGAAAGUGAAAUUUUGACAUUUUUCGUGGUGAACCCGAACGUCAGAAUUUUACCCAGCUCAAGAUCUAGGUACAAUAUAUAAAUGUGAUUACAGAUAUGCAUUCACGAAGAAGCGAAUUCAAAGGAACCGCUGCAUACAAAACAUGUGUUGUAGAAUCUGAUAGUUGUCAGAAUCAGAAUUGAAAUGGAUAAAUUUAUUAGAUGCCUUGAUGUUCGAAACAGAAAUUUUUUUGUUAUCAGAAACAAAGAAAAAAGAUAGUCGCUGACAGAUUUCAAAUGUUAGUUAAGCAGUUAAUUUAUUUUAUUUUUUCGAAUUAUCUUUAUUUCUAUUUGGGAAAACAUAAGAAUAGAACAUAAUGCCAUAAUUAUUGAGUUUGUGGAAAAAAUUGAGAUAUUUUUAGAGGAUUUACAAAACGUACUAAACGUCAUUUAACACCACAUCAAAUGCUUUUUUAUUCAGUCGAUAAUGUGAUAUAAAUAUGUAAAGUAAGCAUGUAAAAAAUUUGAUAAGCAUACUAUAAUCUCUUAAAAUCUUUCUAUUAAUAUAUUCUUAAUAAAAGCUUAAACUGCAGAGCUCAUUGUAAACUUUAAUAGACUUUAUUCAGUAUUUUGAAUUUAUCAAACGCUUCCAAAUUUAUCUAUUUGCAAGUAUUGUCACAUUAGUAAAAAGCUGAUUUCAAUAUUGGUUUUGCAUAUGUACGAAAAUUUGAAAAUCUUAUUUGGUUUUCACAACAUCCCUGGUUAUUAUUUUUUUCGUACAAUACAGGAAUUAUACUUUUAAUAACGAAAGUUCUUGUCUCUUCCUUUAUUUUUAUUACUUAAGCAAGAAGUAAGCAGAUGUAAUAUUUUUGUAGUUGAUCUAAAUGUACAUAUAUUUGUGUAAAAAAGUCGCAGAAACGUUUCAAUUGACUAAAGAUUGGAUUAGCUGCGAGUCUCUAUGGAAGAGCAUGGCCCACUCUGGAAUAUCUAUAUGUACAUACAGUAUGUCGGGUUGUAAUGAAUAUUUAAAAAAAAAUAUCUAAACAUUAAUUUUUACAUUUUACAAUAAGAUGUUACAAAGUAUGCAAUGAAAAAAUAUUUAAUAUACUUGAAGUUGAUAUUAUUUAUGAUCUUUAAAAUAAGCGCUUCAUUGAAAAUAUUCUAAAUUUCAGUAGUUUGAAUUUUCACUUUUGAAAGAAGACAAACUUGCACAAACUUUGUUAAUGUGCUGGAAAUAUAAUCUCAAGUGAAUAUAAACA